ACUAGUGAUCCUUCUCAAAAGUCUGCAGCAACCCCAACAGACCGUGAUAGUUCACCACAAACUUCAUCAUUUGAUAAUUACAGAAAAAUGAUAGAUAGCAUUGGGUUCUGGGUCAUGCAACGAAAGAUUGGAUUUAAAAAAAAAAAAUAUGAAAUCCGAUAAAUCUGAAAUCCAAAAUCCUAGGAUCUCCCUUGGUGUAUUCAAUCAAACAUAUAUGCCUAUAAGUGAGGUUUAGAUAUGAAAUCUUAGGUCGGUGA
rnacentral:lncRNA from 1 species